rnacentral:rRNA from 1 species
ACGCACGCUGGCGGCGCGCCUAACACAUGCAAGUCGAACGAGCGAGAGAGAGCUUGCUUUCUUGAGCGAGUGGCGAACGGGUGAGUAACGCGUGAGGAACCUGCCUCAAAGAGGGGGACAACAGUUGGAAACGACUGCUAAUACCGCAUAAGCCCACGACCCGGCAUCGGGUUGAGGGAAAAGGAGCAAUCCGCUUUGAGAUGGCCGCGCCUCCGAUUAGCUAGUUGGUGAGGUAACGGCCCACCAAGGCGACGAUCGGUAGCCGGACUGAGAGGUUGAACGGCCACAUUGGGACUGAGACACGGCCCAGACUCCUACGGGAGGCAGCAGUUGAGAAUAUUGCACAAUGGGGGGAACCCUGAUGCAGCGACGCCGCGUGGAGGAGGAAGGUCUUCGGAUUGUAAACUCCUGUUGUUGAGGAAGAUAAUGACGGUACUCAACAAGGAAGUGACGGCUAACUACGUG